rnacentral:rRNA from 1 species
AGGCUUAACACAUGCAAGUCGAGGGGCAGCGGGGGUAGCGAUACCCGCCGGCGACCGGCGCACGGGUGAGUAACGCGUAUGCAACUUGCCUAUCAGAGGGGGAUAACCCGGCGAAAGUCGGACUAAUACCGCAUGAAGCAGGGGCCCCGCAUGGGGAUAUUUGCUAAAGAUUCAUCGCUGAUAGAUAGGCAUGCGUUCCAUUAGGCAGUUGGCGGGGUAACGGCCCACCAAACCGACGAUGGAUAGGGGUUCUGAGAGGAAGGUCCCCCACAUUGGUACUGAGACACGGACCAAACUCCUACGGGAGGCAGCAGUGAGGAAUAUUGGUCAAUGGCCGAGAGGCUGAACCAGCCAAGUCGCGUGAGGGAUGAAGGUUCUAUGGAUCGUAAACCUCUUUUAUAAGGGAAUAAAGUGCGGGACGUGUCCCGUUUUGUAUGUACCUUAUGAAUAAGGAUCGGCUAACUCCGUGCCAGCAGCCGCGGUAAUACGGAGGAUCCGAGCGUUAUCCGGAUUUAUUGGGUUUAAAGGGUGCGUAGGCGGCCUUUUAAGUCAGCGGUGAAAGUCUGUGGCUCAACCAUAGAAUUGCCGUUGAAACUGGGGGGCUUGAGUAUGUUUGAGGCAGGCGGAAUGCGUGGUGUAGCGGUGAAAUGCAUAGAUAUCACGCAGAACCCCGAUUGCGAAGGCAGCCUGCCAAGCCAUUACUGACGCCGAUGCACGAAAGCGUGGGGAUCAAACAGGAUUAGAUACCCUGGUAGUCCACGCAGUAAACGAUGAUCACUAGCUGUUUGCGAUACACUGUAAGCGGCACAGCGAAAGCGUUAAGUGAUCCACCUGGGGAGUACGCCGGCAACGGUGAAACUCAAAGGAAUUGACGGGGGCCCGCACAAGCGGAGGAACAUGUGGUUUAAUUCGAUGAUACGCGAGGAACCUUACCCGGGUUUGAACGCAUUCGGACCGAGGUGGAAACACCUUUUCUAGCAAUAGCCGUUUGCGAGGUGCUGCAUGGUUGUCGUCAGCUCGUGCCGUGAGGUGUCGGCUUAAGUGCCAUAACGAGCGCAACCCUUGCCACUAGUUACUAACAGGUAAAGCUGAGGACUCUGGUGGGACUGCCAGCGUAAGCUGCGAGGAAGGCGGGGAUGACGUCAAAUCAGCACGGCCCUUACAUCCGGGGCGACACACGUGUUACAAUGGCGUGGACAAAGGGAGGCCACCUGGCGACAGGGAGCGAAUCCCCAAACCACGUCUCAGUUCGGAUCGGAGUCUGCAACCCGACUCCGUGAAGCUGGAUUCGCUAGUAAUCGCGCAUCAGCCAUGGCGCGGUGAAUACGUUCCCGGGCCUUGUACACACCGCCCGUCAAGCCAUGGGAGCCGGGGGUACCUGAAGUCCGUAACCGAAAGGAUCGGCCUAGGGUAAAACUGGUGACUGGGGCUAAGUCGU